rnacentral:rRNA from 1 species
AAGUCUGCCCAGUGAUAUUUAUUUAACGGCCGCAGUACACUGACUGUNCUAAGGUAGCAUAAUAAUUUGUCUUUUAAUUGAAGACUGGUAUGAAGGCAUCAUGGAAAUAAGCUGUCUUAAGGGAACCGUNGCAAAAUUUACUUAAAAGGUGAAAAUUCCUUUGUUUCGUUAAUAAGACGAGAAGACCCUUAGAAUUAUUACAAUACUUGCUUCAAGGAAAGUUUUUGUUGGGGCAACAUUAUCAAAGAGUAAACUGCUGAUUAUUAAAUGGAGAACAAAAUCAUUAUAUUUAACAGGGACUUAAUUACCUAAGGGAUAACAGCAUAAUUCGUAUACGAGAGUAUGACCUCGAUGUUGG